GAUGGAUAUUAUUCAUCCAUCCACAGAGCCAGCCAAGUAAUGAAAACAUUUAUUCACAAAUCAUUUUGGUGAAGGUUGAAAAGUUUGUAGAAUGAAUUAUUCAUGAGUGCGAUUUGACUCCCUAAAAACCCCAAAUGGAUGGCUGACCUUGAAGAGGAGGAUGGUGUCAGUACUGCACCUGUCUUAGGCCUUCCUAGUGCCUAACAUCAACGUGGUAGCUUUGGAUUGUGGAGAAUGGGAUGUUCACUUACAAGGCAGCCCCAGAACUGGACGGUCAUGGUGCCAUAUGGCUGUGCUAGAUGUCCAUAAUUGCUUUCUGAUGGAGGCAAAAGGAUGGCUCUUUCCACCAGCCAUGCUCCGAAGAGUGCAGGAGUGCCCACUUCUCCAUACAUAACCUGCUAGAAAGGCCUGAAACAAAUGUUUUUGCUUCCAGAGGGAGUGCAGCUGCCUUUUCACAUCUUCUGUACAGUUUAUUCCGUUAUCAGAGCUCCUUCCUCCAUCCUUUCCGGCAACUUUCAGACUGAUGAAAUAAGCCAAAUGGGUCCGUAUUCCCUCUAAAUAAUACAAACAAUAUUCAAGCAAGUUUAUUGCUGCCACAGAUGAAAAUAUGAUAUUUAUGUCCCCCUGAAUUCCAGGCCCUACUUUAUGAUCCCAGCUCUUCCAAAGAGGGUCACAAAUCUACACCAAAUCCCCAGGCUUAGGGUUUUGCAUUCAGAUCCUCUAAGAUAUCUAAAAUUACAUGAAGAUGGACUGCUCCCUAUUGGCCAUCCAUAUGCAGAGGCACAGAAACAUGCAUUAUUCCAACAUUACUGCUAAAUGAAUUGCCAUCUGCUUUCAAGCAACAGAAGAGGAGACAGUUCUAUGACCAGCACGGCCAACCACAAAACUUGUCAUGGUUUGGACCCAUUCAACUCACAGACAUACCAAAAGCACAGCUGCUUCUUGGAAAUGGAUGCAAAUAAUUCAUUCUCUAUUGGUGAACGAAGCCAGGUUGGUACCCAGGGUAAGCCAGGUUGCUUAGGAGAUUUUCAGUCCUUUUGGGGAGCUGCAAUGAGAACAACUCUGGGCAUAUGGCAUUUGCAAGGUCCUCUCUCUUCCCAGAAGAGAUGGUUAUUACAGAGGAUGUGGAAAUGUUCAUGAAGGCUGAACAGAUGACAGCUAUUUCUUUUCAACAAAGACCCUGAAGCAUUUUGGGGGAGAAAAGGGUGGAAAGGUGGGAUGGCUUAGUACGCAGGGAUGGAGUUGACCUCAGGGAUAUUCAAAUCCAUUUCACUGCAGUCACUAAAAGCAAAGUGUCCUCAGGUGAGAUACCACCCUGCACCUACCCCCAAAUACUUUCAUUGCCUUCCCCCUAAUUACUGGCCCAGUGCUUGCUACUGGCUGCCAUUAAAGCAUCCUCAGUGUACACCAAGCCAGAGAUUUAAGGAAAAAUUGAACUACCUGAACCAGCCAGAAAGCUCUUUGUUUUAAAAGAAUCACAGAAUGGCCUGGGUUGAAAAGGACCACAGUGAUCAUCUCGUUUCAACCCCCUUCCACAGGCAGGGUCACCAACCAGCAGACCAGGCUGCCCAGAGCCACAUCCAGCCUGGAAAAGAAACAGUGAAGUCUCUACCCUCACAUUACUCCAACUUCACGUUUUGCUGCUUUUCCUUUACUACUUCUGGGUAUUUCCACAUUUUUAUAACUGAAGUGAGUUCUCCCUCCUUCUGUUUACAUCUGUGAGCUGUAAAACCCCUUCAGUAGGUGUGACUUCCCCUUCCCCCGCUCCCGUCUUGCUUGUACAGGACAGAUAUCCCCAUAAGGACCAAUGCCAUCAGGAGUGCCUCAUGCAGGUGGGUGUCUCCAGCUGAAUGAGCCCUGCGGCAGCCCCACAGCACAUGCAUGGUGGUGGUGGUGGUGUUGGGGUAGGGACACAGAGAUGGUGAGCACAGCUGAGCCCAGCAAAGGGAACUGCUGCAACAGAAAGGCAUCAGGGCUUGAGACGGUGCUUUAGCUGCAAUGAGAUGCUGGUGCUGCACCUUGGGGACCUUCAGUGGGCUCAGCACUUCACUCUCCCCAGGAUGGACAGGAGGGCACACUGCUACCUCUGCCAUGGGAUGACCAGAGAGGGCUUUUGGUGGCAGAGAGAAGGGGGGAGCAGCGUUUGGGCAGCAAUUGUUCUUGGGGGGCAAGAGAGCAGCACGUAACAGCGAGUGGGCAUUGAGGUGAGCCCUGGGCAGUCAGAUGGGACCCAUAACACUGGGCUGAGAGGCCAAACAGCUCCACAUGGCUCCAAUGUCCUCACAUCCUCCAUCAAGCCUUGCUAACGGGAAUAAAAGCAUCCACCAUCAGCACUGUGUCUCCAGCACAGAGCCUCUGCAGGAGGGCAUCAAAUGAGACACUGCUCAUCCCAGCGCCCAUCACGGGGAUGGGACACCCACCAGCUUACCCAGCACCAAACCCCUGCUUCCAAUAGAAGCCUCUAAAAACAAGCUCUAUGUCUCUUUGAUGCUGAGCAUCUCCCACUGUGUGCGGCUGCAUCCGCCCAUGCUGGGAGCACCCCUCGCCCCACUGUUCCAUCCCACCACCAUGGGGUUGUGAGGCACCAACCACAGCUCUGCAGUGGAUCCGCAGCGCUCCCAGCAAUGCGAGGAGGCGGCUGUUACCGGGAGUAAAGUGUGGGCAGUGACUCUGUGGGCUUUUUCUCUACUGAAACUGUAAUUAAUACGGAUCCCAGGUACUAAGAGCAGGGAGAAAUACAGCUUCACAGCAGUUAAGACGCAUCUCAUUAGUGCCGAAACCACUGCGUCGUCAGAAUGCAUGAUGUGCAGCAAGGAAAAAUCGUGUAAUUGAAUUCCCACCAAAGCACCGCUCAUCUGCAGCAAAUGGCACUGCCCUCAUCUGGAGCUCAUCUCGGCUUCCUGCAAAUGGGGAGUCACUGGGAUUCCACGCAUUACAGCACAGAGCAGUGGGGCAGUGUUCCCAGAGCUCAGCAUGGUGAAUGGGGACCCCAGGGUGCCUCUCACUGGGGACCUCUGCAAGGGCCGCAGUGUCUGUGCUGGCCACAGCCAUAGGAAUGCACCCCAUGGGCCAGGCACAUCGGCCCAUUCUUUUUCUCAGUGCAGGAAAUGUGGUUAAAAACAUGCCAACCACUCACAUAAUGCCCUUACCUGCAUAAAUCCUUUGGCACUAAUUAAUAAAUCAUGGGCGCCAUGGCUGUUUCAUUAUUCCAGGCUGGAUUGCUACCAGUGGCAGUGAUGGCAUAAGUCAUUCCGUGUGCACAGCUGACAAGCGUGCUGCCAGCAGCACAAACACACGGGGCAAUAAGCUGCAGCGCUGCACACGGCGGGUUCUUCCCUCACCUGCUGAAGGGCAGGAGCAACCCUGCAUCCCAGCGUGCUGUCCAUGGGAACACCAGAUCCUUUUGCUCUCAAAGCCCAGCUCCGUCCCUCCCCAGGUGCUCUGGGCCCCCAAGCAGCUCCUGGGGCAGACAGAAAGACACAGGGCUGCUUCACCACCAGGCCACCAUUGCACACAGACUUCCCUACCAGCAGCUGCGUGAAAUGACAACGAAGCCAAACGCUUUUCUGAAGAAUUAGAAACAACAAACAAACAAAAAACCAAUAAUGCAAAAGUCAGAUUUCAUC
ensembl:lncRNA